rnacentral:rRNA from 1 species
GAUGAACGCUGGCGGCGUGCCUAAUACAUGCCAGUCGAGCGAACGGACGAGAAGCUUGCUUUUCUGAUGUUAGCGGCGGACGGGUGAGUAACACGUGGAUAACCUACCUAUAAGACUGGGAUAACUUCGGGAAACCGGAGCUAAUACCGGAUAAUAUUUUGAACCGCAUGGUUCAAAAGUGAAAGACGGUCUUGCUGUCACUUAUAGAUGGAUCCGCGCUGCAUUAGCUAGUUGGUAAGGUAACGGCUUACCAAGGCAACGAUGCAUAGCCGACCUGAGAGGGUGAUCGGCCACACUGGAACUGAGACACGGUCAAGACUCCUACGGGAGGCAGCAGUAGGGAAUCUUCCGCAAUGGGCGAAAGCCUGACGGAGCAACGCCGCGUGAGUGAUGAAGGUCUUCGGAUCGUAAAACUCUGUUAUUAGGGAAGAACAUAUGUGUAAGUAACUGUGCACAUCUUGACGGUACCUAAUCAGAAAGCCACGGCUAACUACGUG